CAGCUUCGGCAGCACAUGUACUAAGAUUGGAACGAUACAGAGAAGAUUAGCAUGGCCCCUGUGCAAGGAUGACGCACGUUUGUGAAGCAUUCCAUAGUUAA
rnacentral:snRNA from 1 species